GGCUUGCAACAGUUUGAAGUGCCUGAUAUUGGAAUGGAUCACCGCAAUGAAAGUGGGGAAACAUUAAAGGCAUCUACUGAAGAACUUCUGGAAGGAAUACAUAGUUGAGUUUCCCGACGACACCGUAUCUGUCAAAUCGCCAGUCGUAUCAGCAAACUCUGCUGACAUAGCAGAGGUCCUAGCUGAUAUUUCUCGCACAGGCUGGUCUUCGGGUCCCACUCAUGACAAGAGUGCUGUAUUGCAGGAAGAUCGUCAUAUUUUCGAGACGCCGCCCAAAGUUGGUGAGAAUGUGAUUCCCUUAUCUCAGUUUCUUUUGCCUGACGAGCUGUUUCCAAGCCAAACUCCCGAAAGAAGAAUGGUUUUGCAUCCAUCGGUGGCUCGGAAUGUGCGUCCUAGUAAAUACCAAUUUUCCCUUUUAUGGAGAAUUACGAGUACGUUUCGUGAAAGUAUCAAUAAAAAAGCAUUAAUGCAUUUAAUUUUUUGUAUUGCAAAGCAUUUUUUAUAUUGAUCAUAUGUAUUUUGAAUAUUUACAGCUGGUUUAAAACACAUCACUGUCCGCAUUUUUAAGAAGAAGCAUCCAUUCACGAAAGAUCCUAUCACUGGCUCAAUCGACACAGAGCUUUUUGAUAAAUACUUGGAGUGGAUUCGCAAGGGACUGCUUGUCAGGCAUGAAAAUAAAAAGAACAAUGAAGACCGUUACAGAAAGAAGAUGGCAGCUUUGGAGAAUAAUGCAGAUUAUACUUAUAAUUUUGGCAUCACAGUAGUAGAGAACAAAAACUGGUUCUACCAGUUAUCAAUGAGUGGCCAGCCGUGGAAUGAUGAGCACAUUGACGUGAUUUUCUACUACUUGCGAAAGAAAGGAAAGUAUGACGUAAGGAGCAAUUUCAAAUACACAACUUGAUUGUCUCUUCAUGCGAAAGGUUGAUCAAACAUAUCUUGCAUACAACAACCCAGAAACUGGACCCAAUGUAGCCAACGAAGAAGACGAUAUAUGUCAAUAUGUUAAGGGCUGCAGAUUGCAUGCAAAUGUCCCUUGGCAUUCAGUUGACAAUAUUUUUAUACCUGUCAACAUUAAAGAGGAUAAUCAUUGGAUUUUAGUCGUA